GAUGAACGCUGGCGGCGUGCCUCAAACAUGCAAGUCGAGCGGGGCUAUGUAAUAUCGCAAGGUAGAACAUAGCCUAGCGGCGAACGGGUGAGUAACACGUGGGUAACCUGCCUGGAAGACAGGGAUAACGAUUCGAAAGGGUCGCUAAUACCUGAUAAUAUCCUUUCAUCGCAUGGUGAUAGGAAGAAAGGGGAAACCCGCUUUCAGAUGGGCCCGCGUCCCAUCAGCUAGUUGGUAAGGUAAAGGCUUACCAAGGCGACGACGGGUAGCCGGUCUGAGAGGAUGUACGGCCACACUGGGACUUUGAGAUACGGCCCAGACUCCUACGGGAGGCAGCAGUUGGGAAUCUUAGGCAAUGGACGAAAGUCUGACCUAGCGACGCCGCGUGAGGGAAGAAGGCCUCGGUUGUAACGUACUGUCAUGGGGAAGGAAGGUAAGUAGACGGUACCCGAACGAACGGAAGACCCGUCGCUAACUAACGUGCCACGCAGACCGCGGUAACGAACGAGAGUA
rnacentral:rRNA from 1 species